GUCAGUCCUUAUCAGGACACAGCAUUGCCAUGAGGGCCCCUGCUCAGCUCCUGGGGCUCCUGCUGCUCUGCCUUCCAGGUGUCAGAUGUGACAUCAUGAUUACCCAGUCUCUAUCCUCCCUGCCUGUGUCUCGUGGACACAGAGUCAUUCUCUCCUGCGUGGCCAGUCAGGGCAUUAGCAAUAAUUUACACUGGUACCAGCAGAAACCAGGCCUGGAGCCUGAAGAUGUUGCCAUUAUUACUGUCUACAAAACUACAGUUACCCUCCCAC